rnacentral:rRNA from 1 species
GUAGUCUCGCACAGAUGCAUAUCAAUAAGCGGAGGAAAAGAAACUAACAAGGAUUCCCUUAGUAACGGCGAGUGAAGCGGGAAGAGCUCAAAUUUGCAAAUCUUCAAGGUUUUACCUUGACGAAUUGUAGUUUAAAGAAGUGUUUUCUGUUGAAGUUUUGGUAAAAGUUCUUUGGAAUAGGACAUCAUAGAGGGUGAGAAUCCCGUAUUUGACCAUUAUUUUCAGCUGUGUGGUACACUUUCAAAGAGUCGGAUUGUUUGGGAAUGCAGUCCAAAAUGGGUGGUAAAUUUCAUCUAAAGCUAAAUAUUGGCGAGAGACCGAUAGCGAACAAGUACCGUGAGGGAAAGAUGAAAAGAACUUUGAAAAGAGAGUUAAACGGUACGUGAAAUUGUCAAAAGGGAAGCGUUUGACACCAGUGUUGUUUUCUCGAAAAUCAAUUAAAAAGAGUUUGAUUUUGUUGUGUAUUGACCUUAACAGCUUGCAUUUCAAUUUUCUUGCUUUUUUUAAUGCACUUUUCGUUUAACAAGUCAACAUCAGUUUCUUUUGUUGUAAAAAGGUCAUUGGAAGGUGGCUUUCUUUUCGGAGAAAGUGUUUAUAGCCUUUGACUCCUGCAAUCGGAGAGACUGAGGUCUGCAGCGUAGAUCCUUCGGGGUUAGAUACAUUUGUGCUAAGUUAUAGCUUUUUAUAGACAACUUGUUGACUAUGAUUAGUCUUGUAGCUUACUCGCUUAUGCUAUUUUACCUACGCUUAGGAUGUUGAUGUGAUACUGCGAGCA